rnacentral:lncRNA from 1 species
GCUCGUAGACAACAACAACUAAACAUUUUGGAUGCAAACGACGAAGUAGAGGGUUCCUCUUAUGGUACUGGAAUAGAUGACACGAUAUAAUUUGGACCAGAGAUAUCUUGUUCACCGCCAAGCACUUUUUUUGGAGGUCUCUCCGCAGAUCAUCUACAGGAGCUAGGGGAUCCAAUAUUUUUUUAAAUAAACCGCUGAUUGUUAAAGUA